GCCAUAAAAUUCAGAUCCCUUCUUCACUAUCAUAUUCUCUUUCAAAUCCGACGAUCACUCGUCGUUUGUUGCCCUCCACCCUUCCCUAAAAAUUUUAAAACUUUCUCCCCAAAAAAAUCUAGCAGCAUGUGCCAUCGCCGUUCCGCCGCCGCCAUCUCUCUCUGCCAAUGACAGGUCGAACAACAGUAACUAAUUGGACCACCGCCGCCGUCGUCCUUCCAUUUCUCGGCCAACACCUGCUUCUUUAUCCCUAUUCAUUUUAAAGCUAUCUAUCCCGCUUUUUAAUUUCGAUUCUCUUUCUACUUGAUUCACACAAAUCAUUUACGAAAAUUUCGAAAUGAAAAUUUGAUUAAUUCAUAUAUCAUUUUGAAUUAUUUUUAUGAUUUGAAAAAAAAUAAUUAGUAUUCAAUAUUCAAAUAUUUUCUCAAAUAUACCAUUCGUAUAAUCUCAACCUUCUUAAUUCGGCUGAGUUUUCAUUUUUGUGUACAUUUUUUGUGUUGGUCUCUUAUGUGGAUUGCGUAGAUAAAAGGGAUGUAUUGUGAAUUUUAUCGGGUGAUUUUUGAAAAAAUUAUUGUGAGUGAAUUGUAUCCGGUGAUUUUUGAAGAAAUUAUUGUCGGAGAGAACGUUAGUCUGGAAUUCGUCGAAUGAUUUAUGGAUGAGUUAUUUGGUUUCAGAGUUCUGGAUUGUGUUGGACGAUUUCUGGAUGAGUUAUUUGGUUUCGGGAGAGAAUGCUAGAAGGAACACACGUUUAUUUGAAUAGCCUAAAAUUUUGGAAGAAAAAAACUGUAAAAGAUUUGCCGGGAAAAAGUGUCCAUUAAGCUGUUCUUUUAUAUAAUACUUUAUAUAAUACUAGAACGAUCUCCCGUGCGAUGCACGACGAGUAUCGAAAUUAAACGACAUCAAUUACUCAAUAAAAUCAUGUGCAUCGUUAUUAAACGACAUUAAUGACUCAAUAAAAUCUUAGAUUCACUACAACAAAGAAAGAAUAAAUGCUAUCAAUAUUUUAAAAUAGAACAAGCAUACCAACAUAUGAAUCAAGGAACAUUUUCUUUGGAGAAAGCAAAAUCAAGGAACAUUUUCAGUCCAUCCAAAUACGUUUUGCUAUUCCUAGGGAAUUUAAUCUAAGUCUUAUCAAUGCUUGUUACCUUCAAAUUGGAAGCAAAUAAGAGAGAGUCCCAAAAUUAUUUGUUGAUACCUCAAGAUAGAAGCAGGCACAGCAAAAAUCGUGCAGUAGUCACAGACUCACAACCAGUGUUGUCAAAUUUCCGCCAUGGCGGAUGGCAGUGGCGGUUUAGGAGCAGGACGCCAUAAAAUUCUUAUGGCAUGGCAGUUUUGCCAUGGCGGGUUAUGGCGGCCGCCAUAUCCAUGGCGCCAUGACGGGAUAUGGCGGAAAUUUGGUCCAUGACCCGCUUUACGGGCGGGUUGACCCGACCCUUUAACCCUUUUACUUAGUUAAAUUAGGUUUAAAAAUUAGGGUUUUAACAUUAUAGUAGCCUCCAAAGUUCAAACUUGAAAUUGCUCUGCGCCGCCUCCUCUGAUUUUCGGACCGGCGACGCACCGGCGACCCACUGCUCCGGCGACCUCAGUAGGUUUGCUCCUUUGGAUGAUGAUGAAGAUGAUGACUACGUGGAUGUUGAUGAGGAGGACUAGCAUUAUUACCUAUCUAUCUAUAUCUUAUGCUUGAAGUUGAAGACUUGAACUUAUUCUUGCAUUUUGUUAUGUUUGAACUUUGAACUUAGGAAUAUGUUAUGUUUAAACUUAGGAUAUCAAGUUUUCUAUGAUUUUUCUUGGAUUUUGCAUGUGUUAAUUUCAUAAUUUGCAUAUAUAUAAGUAUAUAUAUUAUUAUUUUAUUAA